GUGCCAGCAGCCGCGGUAAUACGUAGGGUGCAAGCGUUGUCCGGAAUUACUGGGCGUAAAGGGUGCGUAGGCGGCCAAUUAAGUCAGAAGUUAAAGCCCUCGGCUCAACCGAGGUAAGCUUUUGAAACUGAUUGGCUUGAGCGCAGGAGAGGAGAGCGGAAUUCCUAGUGUAGCGGUGAAAUGCGUAGAUAUUAGGAAGAACACCAGUGGCGAAGGCGGCUCUCUGGACUGUAGCUGACGCUGAUGCACGAAAGCGUGGGGAGCGAACAGGAUUAGAUACCCCUGUAGUGAUC
rnacentral:rRNA from 1 species